ACAGCCAGUUUAACAAAAGUAUACAUACAGGGAUUGUGCUGUGAAAGAACUCUGUGCAUUUAACUCACACAAAGCAAAAGGAGAAUGGAAAACUAUAGAUAAAUGGCUUUGAAGAACAUAUUCUAAUAUCACUAUGGAGAUUUCCACUUCUCAAACAGCUGACUAGGGAAUAACUGCACUAAUUUUUGUCAUGACUGUAUCUGAAAAAUUUGUUCCCAUAUUUAUAUCAAAUGCAAAAAUAAAAAAGUGAAAAAUCUGAAUUAGCGAAGGGCUGCUUUGUGUAGGUUUUUU